rnacentral:piRNA from 1 species
UGAAUCUAAGGAUGCCCUCAACGAUU